GUAUUAGUAUCUGCAAAACAACUCAAGGAUAUCCUUCAGAAUAUUAUCUAUAGUUCUGGAGGAGGAACUAAAGGCCCUUGGCUUUGUUUUAUGGUUGAACUAUUAUUAUUUUGCCGUGCUUAAUUGUUUUCCUUUGUUUCUGGUUUUUCUCAUUUCUCUGAUUAAAUUUGCUUUUUAGAACUAAGGGAAGGCCUGGGAAGCUAAAACUUUUCUACAGCCUAAUGGACUAUAACCCGCCAGACUCCUCUGUCCAUGGGAUUCUCCACUCAAGAAUACUGGAGUGGGUUGCCAUGCCCUCCUCCAGGGAAUUUUCCCAACCCAGGGAUUGAACCCGUGUCUCCUGCAUCUCCUGCAUUGGCAGGUCGAUUCUUUACCACUAGUGCCACCAAGCAACCCCAGUGUGAUGGGUUAUAUAUUUAUAUUUGAUUUUCUCUGAUUGGUCCUCUGUUGGAAGCAGGGACAAAAAUUAGGGAAGCUGAGAAUUAUUAUCUAAGUUCUGGCCAUUUUAGGCUGAUUGUAACAGGAGCUGUUGUUUAGCUUCCUGGAAGGUGUGCUAGAGAUAGUGAAUGUUCUGACUUUGUACAUGGCUUUCUUGUGGCUACUAUGUUGAAUUCCUGGCUGGUUACUCUAAAUAAUGCUGUGGGUUUUUGGGCUGCUUGCUGUGUAGAUCAUGUGUCAAGAGUUCUAUCCUUAUGCAUGGUCUGGUCAUUGUCAAAUUGUAUCUUCAGUCUCGCACAUUUAAGUGGCAAACUUAAAAUGUUAUUGUUCAAAAAGCUUUUAUUAGUUUUAGCU
ensembl:lncRNA